GGGGGCGAUUAGGAUUCGACGCCGGUAUCGAAGACCAAGGUGCAUGCCGUGAUGACAGCCAAUCACGUUAAUCCAAAGCUGUAACUGAAUAGUCGCAAACGACGAUUCUUACGCUUUAGCAGCUUAAGCCUGCUAACGGUCAACGCUAAGGUGCCAGUACCGCGGUAUUGACUGUCAUAUAGAACUGGAUAGUUGUGUCGUUCGGAUCGCGGCGGCAUAGCGAAACUUAAGCGGACUCGCUCACCGCGUCCUGCCCGCCGGGCUGCGAGUGAGUUAAACCAAUAGACGGAACCUAAGCAUGUAGAGCCGCGGAGGGAGAGCUGACGGACGGGGGUUCAAAUCCCCCCGCCUCCACCA
rnacentral:tmRNA from 1 species